AGUUUCUCUGUAUAGGACAGUCCCAGCAUUUUAUCUCAGUUUUGUAGACAGACCCUUUUUCAACUUAAGAAUGGGAAUUCUUCAUAUGUCAGAGUGAUAUGAUAAGAAAGAUACAAGAAGCAAAUGGAGACACAGGAGAUAUAUCGCAGAGGUUGUUUGAGAAUCACAGAAUGGUGAUGUCAGAAGGGACCUCUGAAACAAUCUGAUCCAACCCCCUACUCAAGCAGAUUCGCCUAGAGGAAGCUGCUCAGGAACAAUUCUAGGAGGCUUCGGAAUGUCUGAGGAUGGUGACUUCACAGC